rnacentral:rRNA from 1 species
GUCGAACGGUGAAGCUCCAGCUUGCUGGAGUGGAUCAGUGGCGAACGGGUGAGUAACACGUGAGCAACCUGCCCCAAACUCUGGAAUAAGCGCUGGAAACGGCGUCUAAUACUGGAUACGAGACCAACCUGCAUGGGUAUGGUUUGGAAAGUUUUUCGGUUUGGGAUGGGCUCGCGGCCUAUCAGCUUGUUGGUGAGGUAAUGGCUCACCAAGGCGACGACGGGUAGCCGGCCUGAGAGGGCGACCGGCCACACUGGGACUGAGACACGGCCCAGACUCCUACGGGAGGCAGCAGUGGGGAAUAUUGCACAAUGGGCGAAAGCCUGAUGCAGCGACGCCGCGUGAGGGAUGACGGCCUUCGGGUUGUAAACCUCUUUCAGCAGGGAAGAAGCGAAAGUGACGGUACCUGCAGAAGAAGCACCGGCUAACUACGUGCCAGCAGCCGCGGUAAUACGUAGGGUGCGAGCGUUGUCCGGAAUUAUUGGGCGUAAAGAGCUUGUAGGCGGUUUGUCGCGUCUGCUGUGAAAAUCCGGGGCUCAACCCCGGACUUGCAGUGGGUACGGGCAGACUAGAGUGUGGUAUGGGAGACUGGAAUUCCUGGUGUAGCGGUGAAAUGCGCAGAUAUCAGGAGGAAC